CAUGAUAUUUUUAUAGGAACUGAGCUACCAGAAACCAAUCACAUGGGCCUCUUUGCCAUUAACUUUUUUGGGACAUAUUGUGCUCAGAGCAUUAGAACCAAAUGAUAGAUAAUUGAAUGUAAUUUGAAUUAUGCUAAUUUCAUUAUGCAGGAUGGUCUGGUAAUUUGUUUGGGUAAAUUUUCUCAAAUUCCUUUUAGAUUAAUAGGCAUGGCUUAAUUAUUGUUGUACCUAUAGCUUUGUAGUUGCUUCUACAUUUGCAAGGCAAAAAUUAUUUCUGGAAAGAAGUUUCUGAAGAAAACUGUAUGUAUUUUUUUUUCUCUGUCUUUUAAGACUGAUAUCUAGGUAGCUUACUCUACUGCUAGGAAAAAGAUGAUGUAGGCCAUCAUUUACUGCCAAUAAACCUUGCCUUAAGAAUAAGGAUGACUGAGAUAACCUCUUUAAAAGUUUUGCCUUUUCUUGGAUUUCUUUUUCAUGCAACUGAUGUAUUAUUGUUACUGGUCUCCAGCUUUUUGGUCUCUAAUGCCUCCUGAUCAAGGUAGAAUAUAUGCCCCAGUUGAGCUUUCGUCUUCUUUGUCAUUUAGGUUCUUUGUAUUAUAAUCUCUGUGUUCGAUCUGUGGCAUUUGUCUUCCUCUUACCAUAAGCUCUAUCUACUAUGUUUUGAUUCCAGGUUCAAGAUGCAUCCAGUGGCCAUGAAAUUAGAAGGGAGUCCAUAGGAGGAGUUCAUCCAGAUUCAACUAGUGAUCAAGAAUUUGAGCACGCUCCAGUACUCACCAAGCCCUCUAGUUAAUGAUAAAUAGUAUUGUGGUCAAGUCUGCUUUUGAACAAUAUUAAGUUUGGGAAUGUUUCUUCCAGAGUUUCAGUUAUCUAGUAUGGUAGAUUCUUAGUAGAUUCGUAUAAUUAUGAAAGACUGGUUUGUUUGGUUAAUUUCAAUUUAUACUUGGUAAUGAAAUAUAACUUGGCACUUAUCAGUUGUGAGAUAGCUAUGAAUGAAAGGAUUAUUUUGGUGCUUUA